UAAUGUCUGGGAAACUAGCCUGAUGGAGGGGGGAGUAACUACUGGAAACGGUAGCUAAUACCGCAUAACGUCGCAAGACCAAAGAGGGGGACCUUCGGGCCUCUUGCCAUCAGAUGUGCCCAGAUGGGAUUAGCUAGUAGGUGGGGUAACGGCUCACCUAGGCGACGAUCCCUAGCUGGUCUGAGAGGAUGACCAGCCACACUGGAACUGAGACACGGCCCAGACUCCUACGGGAGGCAGCAUG
rnacentral:rRNA from 1 species